UACGUAUGGUGCAAGCGUUAUCCGGAUUUACUGGGUGUAAAGGGAGCGCAGGCGGCGCGGCAAGUCCGAUGUGAAAACCCCCGGCUCAACCGGGGGACUGCAUUGGAAACUACCGGGCUGGAGUGCCGGAGAGGUAGGCGGAAUUCCUGGUGUAGCGGUGAAAUGCGUAGAUAUCAGGAGGAACACCAGUGGCGAAGGCGGCCUACUGGACGGUGACUGACGCUGAGGCUCGAAAGCAUGGGGAGCAAACAGG
rnacentral:rRNA from 1 species